AGCGAACGCUGGCGGCAGGCCUAACACAUGCAAGUCGAACGAACCUUUCGGGGUUAGUGGCGGACGGGUGAGUAACACGUGGGAACGUGCCUUUAGGUUCGGAAUAACUCAGGGAAACUUGUGCUAAUACCGAAUGUGCCCUUCGGGGGAAAGAUUUAUCGCCUUUAGAGCGGCCCGCGUCUGAUUAGCUAGUUGGUUGAGGUAAUGGCUCAACAAGGCGACGAUCAGUAGCUGGUCUGAGAGGAUGAUCAGCCACAUUGGGACUGAGACACGGCCCAAACUCCUACGGGAGGCAGCAGUGGGGAAUCUUGCGCAAUGGGCGAAAGCCUGACGCAGCCAUGCCGCGUGAAUGAUGAAGGUCUUAGGAUUGUAAAAUUCUUUCACCGGGGACGAUAAUGACGGUACCCGGAGAAGAAGCCCCGGCUAACUUCGUG
rnacentral:rRNA from 1 species